UACGGGGGGUGCGAGCGUUGUCCGGAAUCACUGGGCGUAAAGGGCGCGUAGGUGGCGUGAUAAGGGUGUGGUGAAAGCCCGGGGCUCAACCCCGGGUCUGCCAUGCCGACUGUCAGGCUGGAGUACUGUAGGGGCAGGCGGAAUUCCGGGUGUAGCGGUGGAAUGCGUAGAGAUCCGGAGGAAGACCGGUGGCGAAGGCGGCGCUCUGGACCGAGACUGACGCUGAGGCGCGAAAGCGUGGGGAGCAAACAGGGAU
rnacentral:rRNA from 1 species